UUUAAUUAUUUUGAGUUUCUUCUGAAAAUGCCACACUUCCAUUUUUAUCCUCUUCAUAGUUAAUGGUGCAGCUAAGCCAGAAGAGGGAGCAAAAACAAAUGGGCCAUUCCCUCAAACACUCUAGUGUUCGUUUUCAUUUAUUUCCAAUUCGAAUAUUGGCUAAAGGGGGGGGAGGAGGAAGAAAGGGAAGGAAAUUUAUAUUUAAAAAUCUAAAAACUAUAGAUGAGAAGACUGCAUUUUAUCCUAUCUUACAAUGGUCUAAGAACAAAAGCUAAUAUUGCAGCCAUUUUCACAUGAACUUGCCUUACACACUCAGAAGCUAAUGCAAAGAAGGAAGAUGAAUAAGGGACCAGGAGCCUCAGAGACUUGGAACACCUAAACGCUGUGCCACAAAUGCUCUCUAUGACCUUGCCAGCAAAGGAAUCUUCAAAACCUCUCUGCCUCAGUUUGGAUGUGCAGAGUAAGACACACAGAAAAUGGUUGCAUUGUAAUAGUCGUGUUGGGUAGCAUGUUCUUGGACUGCCAAGGGUUGAGAUGUUAUCAGUUGAGGAAGUGCAAGUGGUACAUAGUUUAGCUGGAAGUUAUCCUUCAGACUGCAACCACUGAAGAAACCAAACAGAAUUCUGACACCCAUUUGGAGUGGGGUACAACUUAGGAGUGCAGGAAGAGCUACCAAGGCAGCACAGGAACAGAGGAUGAACAAGCUACCUCCCUUAUACCUUUGCAAUGGGCUACACAGGAGUACAGGCACUGACUGGAGCAACAAUGGAUUCUCUAGCAUCGGAACAGAUCUACUUAGUAUCUGAACCACUGCUGCUGCAGGACAGAUCUGCCAAGCAGCUGGAGAAACAGAGCAGCUCUACCUCUGCCCUGUCCCACCAGGGUCCCCUCCUGCCUGCACACAGCCAGGGCAGGGCUGGGAGCAAAGCUGAUGCGACUGCAGCAUAGGUCACCGUGGCUGCAGAUGAGGACGCUAAACAUGAAAACAAAGCAUAAGAACUAUUCAGAAGAACUUAAAGCAGAAAAUUGUUUGCCAUAUCUUCCACAACAGAACACAAAAGAAGCUUUAAUUAACAAGAACAAAAGAAAGAAGAGAAAGAAGAGGGCUGACACUUCAGAACCAGAGAUGAGUGAUGAAAAUUCAGGAUCAGAUAUUUCAAAGACUUCAGCACAUCAAAGUCACACAUCAAGUUUGUGCACCAAAAGUUUCCUACCCCAAUCACAGCAAAAAGCCUCAGCUGAUGAGUGCCGCUGAACACGGUGUAUACUGGCCUACACAAACCAAUGUCCCCAUCCUCAGAUUUACAUACUUGUACAAGCUCUACCCCCUCAUUCAGAUCAAAAGGCUGUACGCUUCAUUUUCAGUGGGACUCGUUUUCACUUACAAGCUCAUACAGUGAGGCAGACAUGUGCAAUAGCAGGGUGGCAAAGUCUUUGGCUGCAGCAAGAACAAGCCCAAAUACAGCAGCCAUGGACACAGAAACAAAUGGGGAAAAACAUGAAAAAGAAAAAGCUGCUUACCCUUGGAAGGCUUCAAGUAGACAGACCACCAGCAGGAUACCUCUGCCCCCAUUGCUAACCCUUAUAUGAGGUCUUGGAAGGGAUGAAUCCUAGCCCCACCUGCAUGCACCCCAUGGCCCCACCCACAACCCUUCUGGCUACUCAGGUACACUGCGUGCACCUGAGCUCCCCUGGGUUGGCCCUGCCUUCACACCAGGUGCUCCAUCAAUGCUUCAGGCCAUGACUUAGCUUUUCCACUACAACACAUUAAUACCAAAGAAUACAUGCAGCAGUGUGAAUAGCUUCCACCAUUCUCUUAGGCAGAGAGAACAUUUCUGAGGACUCGGUUAUGCUCUUCCAGUAAAAUGUCAGGUAUCAGACAAACCAGGUCACUUAGUACUUUGGGAGAAAAAAAAGCAAACAGGAC
rnacentral:lncRNA from 1 species